ACAGAGAGGCUGCGUGGAAUUAGAGUGUGGACAUGGGGAGCGGUUUCCAGGAGGAGGGUCUACACUCUCCUGCCCUCUUGCAAGAUCUGCACGCCCCCCUCCCGCAGCUCCAAAAAACAAAACAAAAAGCCAAAAAGCCAAAAAUCACACUGCAUGUGUCAAGGCCUGGGAAGCCUCUGGAGGAGGAAGCCUCCUACGCACCCCAGACACCCUAACAGGGGCACCACACAAGAGCAGCCAUUCUCAGCACCUGACAAAGGCCGUCGUGGCUUCCAGCACUUCGGAGGUUUAGGAUUGGAAACUGCUGCCCACAGAAAGGAAAGGAAGGUGGUGCUAUUUAGGACUUGCAGGAUAGGACUUGCGUGCCCAGCCUCGGAGGAGACCUCAGCCACUGCAUGUGUGUCUGCAAGAAUGGGACCAGGCAGUGGUGGUGAAGACAGACGACAGCACCUGUCUCAGAAAACGUUUUUAGGAGUCGGCGUGGUAACGGAAGAUGGGGUUUCGCCAUGUUGCCCGGCCUGGUCUCGGACUCCUAGACUCAAGCGAUCCCCCACCUCGGCCUCCCAAAGUGCUGGGAUUACAGCCAAUUCUUUUAGAGCCACCAAGCUUCUCCCUGCAGUCAUCCUGCCCAUGGCUGUUGAUGGCCCUGAUGGGGCUUGGAGCCCCCAGAAUGUGCAGAAGUUGGACAAAGGUGGUCUUCAAAUGCAAUGGUUGUCUUAUCACCGAAAACCCACGGCAUCCAGAGGAGGCCCUUCACUACGAAGGUUACAGAGACCACAGGUCUCUGUACAUCCCAAGUUUCCCCUGCUGCCAAAGGCAGGGGAGGAGAGAAUUCUGGAAGCCCACCCUGUCGCACGGCUCCUCUGGCACAUGGAGCCACUGAAUGU